rnacentral:rRNA from 1 species
AAUAGAUACCCCGGUAGUCCACGCCGUAAACGAUGAGUGCUAAGUGUUGGGGGGUUUCCGCCCCUCAGUGCUGCAGCUAACGCAUUAAGCACUCCGCCUGGGGAGUACGGUCGCAAGACUGAAACUCAAAGGAAUUGACGGGGGCCCGCACAAGCGGUGGAGCAUGUGGUUUAAUUCGAAGCAACGCGAAGAACCUUACCAGGUCUUGACAUCCCGGUGACCACUAUGGAGACAUAGUUUCCCCUUCGGGGGCAACGGUGACAGGUGGUGCAUGGUUGUCGUCAGCUCGUGUCGUGAGAUGUUGGGUUAAGUCCCGCAACGAGCGCAACCCUUAUUCUUAGUUGCCAUCAUUCAGUUGGGCACUCUAAGGAGACUGCCGGUGAUAAACCGGAGGAAGGUGGGGAUGACGUCAAAUCAUCAUGCCCCUUAUGACCUGGGCUACACACGUGCUACAAUGGACGGUACAAACGGUUGCCAACCCGCGAGGGGGAGCUAAUCCGAUAAAACCGUUCUCAGUUCGGAUUGUAGGCUGCAACUCGCCUACA